GUUAGAGGAAAUGAAUUCACACCAUUUGGAUUACAACAAGAAAGAAAUACCAUUCAUGAAUAAUCAUGAAUAUAUUUUUAAAAAAGCUGAACAAGGAAUUAAUGUUAAUGUUAACAGAUGUGGAUUAUUUAUUCAUCCUGAACAUAAAUUUUUAGGUGGAAGUCCGGAUGGAAUCGUUUUUAUCAACAACAAUAGGGAAGGACUUAUUGAAGUUAAAAAUGUUUAAAAAAAUAAAGAAUGAACUUAUUUCAAGCUGCCAAUACAAACAGAAAUUUCUUUUGGGAAUAGAAAAGGAAAAAUUAAAAUUAAAAUUGAACCACAAUUACUAUCAGUGUCAAGGUUUAUUGCAUAUAUGCAAUUUACCGUGGAUAGACUUUAUAGGAAGGACCACAGACCCAUAUCAACUCCACGUGGAAACAAUUUAUAAAGACAAUAACCUUUGGGAAUCAUGGAUUCCAAAGCUUAAAGCAUUUUAUUGCAAGGUUUUAUUGCCAGAUUUAGCUUGUCGGAGACAAAGAAAAAUUCCAGGAAUAAGAGAGCCUGGAGUAUGGUUUGAAGAUACAACCAAGCCUUCUGUAAGUAAAAGGACGGUUACAUGUCGUAAGAAAACUACUUCAAGGACCAAACCAACUUCCACAGUGACGCAGAAGAUUAGUACAGUAACAUCAGAUAGGAAUACUGCAAGACGGGCAGCAUCUUCAAAAACAAAGUUUGUUGGUAGACAAAUUAAACAUAAAUGGAAGUUGUGCAUUGAUUCUGAAAAUACCGAGUGGUAUACUGGCUAUGUAACAUCCCUUUUGUCUGGAGUCGAUGGGAAUUCUAAUGCAGUGUAUGAAGUGCUAUAUGACAAUGAUGAUGAACCUUACAUGAUUUACCAUCUUGUAGAAGACUUCAAGGAAGGAUCAGUACAGUUUUUGGAUUUAUAGGGUAUAAUCUCGCAUACAUAUAUG